AAUAAGUUAAUUAAGAGCGUAAGGUGGAUGCCUUGGCUCUCAGAGGCGAUGAAGGACGUGAUAAGCUGCGAUAAGCUACGGGGAUUGGCACACACAAUUUGAUCCGUAGAUUUCCGAAUGGGGAAACCCACUAUAUUGAAGAUAUAGUAUCCGUUAAGGAAGCAAACCCAGGGAACUGAAACAUCUAAGUACCUGGAGGAAUAGAAAACAAAAGUGAUUCCGCUAGUAGUGGCGAGCGAACGCGGAACAGCCCAAACCAAAAUUGUUUCGGCAAUUUUGGGGUUGUAGGACCACGAUAUUGAAUGUUUAAUGAAUUAGAAUUCUUUGGAAAAAGAA
rnacentral:rRNA from 1 species